GACGAACGCUGGCGGCGUGCCUAAUACAUGCAAGUCGAACGGUCUUUUCUAUGGAAGCUUGCUUCCACUGAGAAGAUAGUGGCGAACGGGUGAGUAACACGUGGGUAACCUGCCCAUAAGAGGGGGAUAACAUCCGGAAACGGGUGCUAAUACCGCAUAGUUUUUCUGAUCGCAUGAUCGGGAAAGGAAAGACGGCCUUUGUGCUGUCGCUUAUGGAUGGACCCGCGGCGUAUUAGUUAGUUGGUGAGGUAACGGCUCACCAAGACGAUGAUACGUAGCCGACCUGAGAGGGUGAUCGGCCACAUUGGGACUGAGACACGGCCCAAACUCCGACGGGAGGCAGCAGUAGGGAAUCUUCCGCAAUGGACGAAAGUCUGACGGAGAGACGCCGCGUGAGUGAAGAAGGUUUUCGGAUCGUAAAACUCUGUUGUCAGAGAAGAACAAGUCGGAGAGUAACUGCUCCGGCCUUGACGGUAUCUGACCAGAAAGCCACGGCUAACUACGUGCCAGCCGCCGCGGUAAAAC
rnacentral:rRNA from 1 species